rnacentral:pre_miRNA from 1 species
AGGGGGAGGCCGGAUCCUGGGCUGUGUCCCCGGCUCCCUGUGCUCCCGGGCCUGCACUGUUGGAAUCCUGCUCUUGGCCUUGCAGCCCCCU